GCAGCUGUGAAGAUGAGAGAAAUUGAAAAAAGAAUGAAAAGAUGGAAAAGAAUGCCUCUCUCCAGAUUUCCUAGUGCCCAAACUCAGGUUCUCCCAGAUGUCUCCAUAAUGCUGGGGCGUCAGUCUGAGGCUCUGGGAAGGCAAGCUGGAGGUUGGAGAUCGCCUGACCACCCUGGAACACCUGAGGUGAGGGCAAGGCCUGGCUCUUCCCCUGGACUCCAGACUCACAGGUUCAGCUGCCCACUCAACAUCUCCCUAGCCUUUCCCAUCUCGCUGAAAGGCCCAGUUGUUAGAGCCAAAAACCUGGUAUGCCUCAUUUUUCCUCACCUCCUCUGUGUAAUCUAUCAGCAAGUUGUGUCAGCUCUGCAUCUAAAAUAUACCCAAAUUUCACCACUCCUCACCAUUUCAUUCCCAUCACCAUAUUGCAGCUCAUCUUCCCCUGCCUGGACCAUUGCAAUGGCCUCCUCCUCCUCCUCUUCCUGCUUCCAUUCUAAUCCCCUAAAAACUAUUCUGCACAGAGCAGUGUGAGUAAUCCUUUUGAAAUGAUUAUAUGAAAUGAUACGCAGUUUGAAAUUUACUUCAAAAUAAUCUGAGUUAGUAGGAGGCUGGAUUGGUGUACAGAUGAAAAGAUUAUCCAUAUAAUGAUAAUUAUGGAAGCUGACUGAAAAGGGUAUACCAGGUUCAUUAUCUCUACUUCUGUAUUUGUUUGAAAUUUUCCAUAAUAAAAAAAGAUGAAGGAAAAAAAAAAAGUCUGCUCAUGUCAUUCCCUUGUGUAAAAACUUCCACUGAUUUCUACUGUCCUUAGAAUAAAAUCCAAACUCUUCAAUGGCCUAUAAGGUCCUCUGUCUGUUUGAGUACACACUCCACAUUUCCCUUGAUCCCUAAAUAUCAGUUACAGUGGCCUGCUUCCUGGUCCUAGAAGAUACCAAGCCUGUUUUUUUUUUGGGACCUUUUAAAAACCUACUAUUCCUUCUUCUUACCAGUGGUUCUUAUCAGACUGGCCCCUCCUCAUCUUUCAGAUCUCAAUUCAAAUUCACCUCCCCAGAAUAGUCUUCCAUAAUCACCCUAUCUAAACUUGUGUAUCCCAGACAUCCUAUUUUUCCAUUAUACACCUGUUUUAUUUUUUUUGUGGUACUUAUUACUAGUUGAAAUUGUAUUUAUUUGUUUGCACAUUCUGCCUCCCCCCCUCUGGAAUGUAAGCUCUAUGAGUGGGGCCCUAUCUUUCUAAUUACUAAAUCUCUGGUGCCUAAUACAGUGCCUAGAACAAUGCAGUGUUCAAAAACUAUUUGUUGAAUAAAUUAAUGAAUCAUCAAUCUGCUGAACCCAGGCAGUGAGCUUCUUUUUCCUUAUUUCCUACUCUUCUUAGGAAAGAACCCAGGCAUGUAAUCUUCCCUCCAUCCCGUCCCCACUCUUCCCACUGGGUGGGGA